ACAUGUUCUUCAGGCUCCAGAAGGAAAUUAUGUCUCUGCCAGCUUUAAAACAGAUUUCAUUGAAAUUAUGAUUGAAAAUCAGAUAUCAGAGUGUGUCUGAUAAACUUCCUUGAAGAGGUGGAAUUCAAGAAGCAUCUGAAGAUUGGCAGCAAAAGAGAGAGACAGAGAGAACAUGGCAGUGAAGAACUAAAGUUGACUAAAGACAACCACAUUGAACUUCAAUCAGCAAACAGAGCCGGGAAAACUGUAACUGGCAGAAAAUUCCUGCUGCUUCCAAUGCAAUCAUAUCAGAGCGAGCGGUAGCUAUUUUAAUGCAGGAAAGCAUAGAGCGCUGUGUACAGCAGGCUAAAACCUCACUUCUUCCUACGAGCUACACAGCAAGGCUCCAUGUGAUUGGCUGUACCACCAACUAUAGUGAUGCAAUCAAAUGUGUGUCUGAUUGAUGAACUGUACUUGCUAUAAGCUGGAGCUGAGUAAUAAGACACAGUAUUCUGGAAUGACUAUUGGAAAUGCUGCCUGUAGCUCUGCACAGCAUGCAUCUCUUGCACUACACUCCCAUCUCAUUUUUACUGUUGAGGGUACUAUGAGACACUUCACGUAGCACUUACAUGGCAUGUAAAAGAGCUUAAGUUAGGCCAAUAUUAACUUUUAUUUUUAGCUCCUAAUCAUUGCCUCUCACAGCAAGAAUGGCCCAAAAAACAAGACACCAAAAGGUCAUGUCCAAAAUAAUGUUAACCUACAGACCAGUUUCAUAUUUUUCUCUUAUUGUUUAAGAAGUAGUACAAAACUGGCAGAUGAAACACUAAUAAUCCAUGUUACAAUGAAGCUGCAGGAUCACCCAGAAAAGGGGAUAAUUAGGGUUGUGUGAGUGGUACUGGCACAACAGGAGUCCAUUUGUACAUUAUAUGCAUUUACCUUUAUAAUGGGAUUGAUUCAAUCAUUGAAACAGCUUUACUUUCUCUAUGGCUGUUAUUUUAAGCAAUGUAAUUCUGUGGAUUGUGAACUUUGUGCUUAGAGUGUCAUUUAAAUGUAAGGUAGGUGGCGGAAAAAUAAACUGAUACAUCAAAUAUACAUCAAAUAUGAAAACCCUAAAUAAGAAAUAUGAUAUAAUUCGCUGAGGUACCUGGUGUUGCCCAGGAAAUUGGCUUUUACAUCUUUAAAAUAAAAUAAUAAUUUGCAAAACAAAUUGCUUAGCUUGCAGAAGGUAAUUGAUAAACAGUCAUUUAUGUAGAUAUACUGUAUAUGUAGAUUUUUAUUUAUAUAGCAGAACAGUAA